UACGUAGGGGGGCAAGCGUUGUCCGGAUUUAUUGGGGCGUAAAGAGCGUGUAGGCGCCAGACAGGUCCGUUGUGAAAACUCGAGGCUCAACCUCGAGAUGUCGAUGGAAACCGUCUGGCUAGAGUCCGGAAGAGGAGUGUGGAAUUCCUGGUGUAGCGGUGAAAUGCGCAGAUAUCAGGAAGAACACCUAUGGCGAAGGCAGCACUCUGGGACGGUACUGACGCUGAGACGCGAAAGCGUGGGGAGCGAACAGG
rnacentral:rRNA from 1 species